CUCGUAGGUGGCCGCCCUCAGUCCGACGUGAAAUCCCUCGGCUCAACCGGGGAACUGCGUCGGAUACUGGGUGGCUUGAAUCCGGGAGAGGGACGUGGAAUUCCAGGUGUAGCGGUGAAAUGCGUAGAUAUCUGGAGGAACACCGGUGGCGAAGGCGGCGUCCUGGACCGGUAUUGACACUGAGGAGCGAAAGCCAGGGGAGCAAACGG
rnacentral:rRNA from 1 species